CAAAUUUAUGAGAAAUUUGUUAUUAUGUGACAAAGGAAGUCUACGUCAAAAAAAUGACGUCUAUAUUAGUCAUUUCUAAUCACAUGGCAUUUCCCGCCUUUUCUGAAAAAAUGGCUGGCAUCAUCCGCGUUGAGAAAGAAUCCAUUCGGUAUUGUCGAAGUAUGAAUUGUGGACGAAUGAAAUCGAAACAGGUAACUCUAAAUCAAUGCAGAAUGCGUUCAUUGAUUUAUAAGUACAAGUAUUUUUACAAAUCAUUGCUCCUUUUCUUUGGAGAGAAAUCAAACGUUCACCAUUUCAGUAAUAAAAUGGUAUAAUAGAGUAACUAUAUUUAUU
rnacentral:lncRNA from 1 species